CGGCCAGGUUACCCGCGAGAACAAAGAAUGGUAAAGCCAGCCACCCUGCAAAAUAGGACCAGGAGAAGCCGUCUUCCUUCCUCGCACUCGCCGCCGAGUAGCUGAUCAGCGCUAGCAGCAACAGCAGCCCUGGGCCACGCCCGCUCGCCAGAUCUGUGCAAAGGUCAGCAGUGGAAGUCCAUGCCAGCGAGGUGAAGGAGCUGUGCUGGUGGGAUGAGGGUUCUACACAACAAAGACCAGGGCUCUCCUAAAAGGCACCACAAUCCUCCUCAGUGAUACGGAGGCCCCGAGCUCCUCCAACGACAAGCACAGUCGGGUACAUGCCAGGAAGCCAGUGUGAUGAGUUCAUCGUGGAGACUAAGCGGCACACAUCUUCCACUCCAGAGCCAGGAAGCCAUGCUCAAUGUGAGGACCAGAGCUUCUCCAGGAGAACCAAUGGCUCAAAUAGCAACUCAUAGGAGACCCACAAUGCCUCAACACAUUAACACCUUAACCUCCUCCUCCUUCUCCACCUCUCUUAUUUAUGUUGGCAACUUUCCUCAGGUGGAGCAUCUACGCUCAGCACCAUGCUGAUGUAAUCCAGCUGGUGUUAAGUUGACCACCAGUUCUUAAUCCAUAACACGGUCCCUCCUUUCCAUCCUGGGCCCUGGCCCCAGGCAGGCUCCAUCCUCCCAGCCUGUUCUUGUCUCUAAUCUCCAGUCCUGACUUCCACCCCACGUCUGUGGAGGGACUCAGAGCUGACUGUGUCCCUGUGUGCUCAUGAUUUUUAAUUCCCCGUCACCUUCAGGAGAUGCCAGUGAGUGAGUGACAUUGAAAACCUGCUCCCAACACUCCCCACCCCCUGCUUCUGCAUUCUUGCCAUGGAGCACCCUCUCCCCACCCCCAGAUCCCCGACCGCCAGAGCAGCUCAAGUUCCUGGGGGCCUUCCUCAGAGAGGCCACGCAGUCCAUGUGCCUCCUGACUCCCCAGGCCAGCCUUUCCAGUGCCCUCCCUGGGAUCUGGCUGCAACCUGGCCAAUAGAAACAGCUGGUCUGUAACUUCCCUGUCCAGCCUGGCACUCCACUCUCCUGGAUGCCUCUGUCCUCACCCACCUUAGAGCUGCCCAGACUAAGCUCAACAGACCCUCCUGCCUCAGCAUCCCAGGCAGUCGCUUAUGUCUUAGCUGAAUUAAUCUUGGAAAAGCCA